rnacentral:rRNA from 1 species
GGGAAUUUUGGACAAUGGGGGCAACCCUGAUCCAGCAAUGCCGCGUGUGUGAAGAAGGCCUUCGGGUUGUAAAGCACUUUUGUCCGGGAAGAAAUCGCACCUGAUAAUACCGGGUGUGGAUGACGGUACCGGAAGAAUAAGGACCGGCUAACUACGUGCCAGCAGCCGCGGUAAUACGUAGGGUCCAAGCGUUAAUCGGAAUUACUGGGCGUAAAGCGUGCGCAGGCGGUUGUGCAAGACCGAUGUGAAAUCCCCGGGCUUAACCUGGGAAUUGCAUUGGUGACUGCACGGCUAGAGUGUGUCAGAGGGGGGUAGAAUUCCACGUGUAGCAGUGAAAUGCGUAGAGAUGUGGAGGAAUACCGAUGGCGAAGGCAGCCCCCUGGGAUAACACUGACGCUCAUGCACGAAAGCGUGGGGAGCAAA